GAUGAACGCUGGCGGCGUGCCUAACACAUGCAAGUCGAGCGGCAGCACGAUAAGCGCUCUUCCUUGCUGUUAGCGGCGGACGGGCGAGUAACACGUGCAUCACCUUCCUAUAUUACUGGGAGAAUUACGUGAAACCGCUGCCAAUACCGGCUAAUAUUUUCAACCGCAGGGUUCAACAGUGCAUGACGGCCUUCCCGUCUCUUUUAGCUGGAUCCGCGUUGUAUUGGUUGGUUGGUAAGGUAACGGCUUACCAAGGCAACGAUGCUUAGCCGACCUGAGAGGAUGAUCGGCCACACUGGAACUGAGACACGGUCCAGACUCCUACGGGAGGCAGCAGUAGGGAAUCUUCCGCAAUGGGCGAAAGCCUGACAGAGCAACACCGCGUGAGUGAUGAAGGUCUUCGGAUUGUAAAACUCUGUUGUUGGGGAAGAAAAGAUGUAUGAGUAACUGUGCACAUCUUGACGGUACCUAAACAGAAAGCCACGGCUAACUUCGUG
rnacentral:rRNA from 1 species